CACGUAGGCACCAAGCGUUGUCCGGAUUUAUUGGGCGUAAAGAGCUCGUAGGCGGUUCAGUAAGUCGGGUGUGAAAACUUUGGGCUUAACCCAAAGCGUGCAUCCGAUACUGCUGUGACUUGAGUUCGGUAGGGGAGUGGGGAAUUCCUAGUGUAGCGGUGAAAUGCGCAGAUAUUAGGAGGAACACCGGUGGCGAAGGCGCCACUCUGGGCAGAAACUGACGCUGAGGAGCGAAAGCAUGGGUAGCAAACAGG
rnacentral:rRNA from 1 species